GAUGAAGAACGUAGCGAAAUGCGAUAAGUAAUGUGAAUUGCAGAAUUCAGUGAAUCAUCGAAUCUUUGAACGCACCUUGCGCUCCUUGGUAUUCCGAGGAGCAUGCCUGUUUGAGUGUCAUGAAAUUCUCAACCUUUUCAGCUUUCUUUGUUGAUCAGGCUUGGAUGUGGGAGUAUGCGGGCUUCUCAGAAGUCGGCUCUCCUGAAAUGCAUUAGCGGGACCUUUGUUGCCUGGCUUUGGUGUGAUAAUUAUCUACGCCAUUGUAGUCAAGCAGCUUAAAAUGAGGUUUCAGCUUCUAACCGUCUCCCCUGAGACAACUUUUUGACAAUAUGACCUCAAAUCAGGUAGGACUACCCGCUGAACUUAAGCAUAUCAAUAAGCGGAGGA
rnacentral:misc_RNA from 1 species